GGAAUAUUGGUCAAUGGAGGCAACUCUGAACCAGCCAUGCCGCGUGCAGGAAGACAGCCCUCUGGGUCGUAAACUGCUUUUAUUCGGGAAUAAACCUACUUACGUGUAAGUAGCUGAAUGUACCGAAGGAAUAAGGAUCGGCUAACUCCGUGCCAGCAGCCGCGGUAAUACGGAGGAUCCAAGCGUUAUCCGGAUUUAUUGGGUUUAAAGGGUGCGUAGGCGGCUUAUUAAGUCAGGGGUGAAAGACGGUGGCUCAACCAUCGCAGUGCCUUUGAUACUGAUGAGCUUGAAUGAACUAGAGGUAGGCGGAAUGUGACAAGUAGCGGUGAAAUGCAUAGAUAUGUCACAGAACACCGAUUGCGAAGGCAGCUUACUAUGGUUUUAUUGACGCUGAGGCACGAAAGCGUGGGGAUCAAACAGGAUUAGAUACCCUUG
rnacentral:rRNA from 1 species